rnacentral:rRNA from 1 species
AGCAGUCGCCGCGGUAAUGCGUAGGUGGCAAGCGUUGUCCGGAAUUAUUGGGCGUAAAGCGCGCGCAGGCGGAUAGGUCAGUCUGUCUUAAAAGUUCGGGGCUUAACCCCGUGAUGGGAUGGAAACUGCCAAUCUAGAGUAUCGGAGAGGAAAGUGGAAUUCCUAGUGUAGCGGUGAAAUGCGUAGAUAUUAGGAAGAACACCAGUGGCGAAGGCGACUUUCUGGACGAAAACUGACGCUGAGGCGCGAAAGCCAGGGGAGCGAACGGGAUUAGAUACCCCGGUAGUCCCUGUCUCUUAUACA